UGAGAACAGCCAAAAGGGCGGCAAAGUCCACUCCCGAAGAGAAUUCUAUAGCAAUUAACACCACGUGUCAACGGUACUUUAACAGAAAAAGGAAAGGCUGAUGGACAUUCUUUAACAUCUCGAUACCUGAUCUUUGAAGGCGUCUAGAAGACCUAGAAAACUGUCCUCAACCGAGCAAGGUAAGACGAGCUCGCGACUCAUAAUAAUCAUUAGUAACUUAGCAACCGCAGACCACGUAACCUGUCAAUCAAACAAAGAAGUUUAAAGUCUAGAACUACUGCAUAUUAGAGGUCUGUUAGCGCACUUUGUGUAUCCCUGGACUUACCUCAAUGUUUGGAAAUGCUAAGAUGAGUUGGACAUGCGCAGUAGAAAGGAGUUGACCAAGUUUGGCGGAAAAUCCAAGUGCUGUUGGAAAGAUAUUUUUUUUACAAGAGCAUCAGCGUUUAUUUACCCACAUAUAGCAAAGUAUAGCGGUCGGGAUUGCGUGAGAGCUGAAGGCAUUACAGCCUUCUGUACAGCUGAAUCGAGUUGUUCAAAUUCGGUUGUUAGAGUUAACAAAGGAAAAAAUAUAUAGACAAAAAAUAGAGUCCGGUCUAUCUAUGUACUCAUAUCUAUUUAGAGUUCCUGCAGGCCCUUACUAAAACCCCUUUGCCAAUAUCGAUCAGCAUUGCUUAAUAACUAUUUAGAUUUCCUGGAGCCCUCACUAAAUCCACUUUGUGAAUAUCGAUCGGAGUUGCUGCCGCUGCUUCGCUCGGCUGAUCACACCAAAAAUGCCACUUUGUGAAUAUCGAUCGGAGUUGCUGUCGCUGCUUCGCUCGGCUGAUCACAC